rnacentral:rRNA from 1 species
AUGCAAGUCGAGGGGCAGCGCGGGGCGGCAACGUCCUGGCGGCGACCGGCGGAAGGGUGCGUAACGCGUGAGCGACAUGCCCGUUGCCUGGGGACAACCGGUGGAAACGCCGACUAAUCCCCGAUGGGAUACGAUGCUUCAUGGCAUUGUAUUGAAAGUUACGGCGGCGACGGAUUGGCUCGCGUCCGAUUAGCUGGUUGGCGGGGUAACGGCCCACCAAGGCUACGAUCGGUAGGGGUUCUGAGAGGAAGGCCCCCCACCAAUGGGACUGAGACACGGCCCAUACUCC